rnacentral:rRNA from 1 species
GAUCCUGGCUCAGGACGAACGCUGGCGGCGUGCCUAAUACAUGCAAGUCGAACGCUUCUUUUUCCACCGGAGCUUGCUCCACCGGAAAAAGAGGAGUGGCGAACGGGCGAGUAACACGUGGGUAACCUGCCCAUCAGAAGGGGAUAACACUUGGAAACAGGUGCUAAUACCGUAUAACAAUCGAAACCGCAUGGUUUUGAUUUGAAAGGCGCUUUCGGGUGUCGCUGAUGGAUGGACCCGCGGUGCAUUAG